GACGAACGCUGGCGGCGUGCUUAACACAUGCAAGUCGAACGGAAAGGCCCCUUUGGGGGUACUCGAGUGGCGAACGGGUGAGUAACACGUGAGUAACCUGCCCUUGACUUCGGGAUAACUUCAGGAAACUGGGGCUAAUACCGGAUAGGAAUCCUUGCUGCAUGGUGGGGGUUGGAAAGCUUCGGCGGUUUUGGAUGGACUCGCGACUUAUCAGCUUGUUGGUGGGGUAGUGGCUUACCAAGGCUUUGACGGGUAGCCGGCCUGAGAGGGCGACCGGCCACAUUGGGACUGAGAUACGGCCCAGACUCCUACGGGAGGCAGCAGUGGGGAAUAUUGCACAAUGGGCGGAAGCCUGAUGCAGCAACGCCGCGUGCGGGAUGACGGCCUUCGGGUUGGAAACCGCUUUCAGCAGGGGCGAAGCUUGUGGUGACGGUACCUGCAGAAGAAGCACCGGCUAACUACGUG
rnacentral:rRNA from 1 species